UGGGGAAUAUUGCACAAUGGGCGAAAGCCUGAUGCAGCAACGCCGCGUGGAGGAUGACACAUUUCGGUGCGUAAACUCCUUUUAUAUGGAAAGAUUAUGACGGUACCAUAUGAAUAAGCACCGGCUAACUCCGUGCCAGCAGCCGCGGUAAUACGGAGGGUGCAAGCGUUACUCGGAAUCACUGGGCGUAAAGAGCAUGUAGGCUGUCUUGUAAGUCAGAUGUGAAAUCCAAUGGCUCAACCAUUGAACUGCAUUUGAAACUACUUGACUAGAGUACUGAAGGGGCAGAUGGAAUUUCCAGUGUAGGGGUAAAAUCCGUAGAUAUUGGAAGGAAUACCGAUAGUGAAGACGAUCUGCUGGGAAGUUACUGACGCUGAGAUGCGAAAGCGUGGGGAGCAAA
rnacentral:rRNA from 1 species